rnacentral:tRNA from 1 species
GGGUAUAUAGCUCAGUGGCAGAGCGCGUGUUUAACAUGCACGAGGUCCUGUGUUGAAUUCCCAGUACCUCCC